rnacentral:rRNA from 1 species
UACGGGGGGGGGCAAGCGUUGUUCGGAAUUACUGGGCGUAAAGGGUUUGUAGGCGGCCUUGUAAGUCAGGUGUGAAAUCCCUCGGCUCAACCGAGGAACAGCGCUUGAUACUGCAAGGCUUGAGGGAGACAGGGGUAAGCGGAACUGAUGGUGGAGCGGUGAAAUGCGUUGAUAUCAUCAGGAACACCGGUGGCGAAAGCGGCUUACUGGGUCUCUUCUGACGCUGAGGAACGAAAGCUAGGGUAGCGAACGGG